UACGGAGGAUGCAAGCGUUAUCCGGAAUGAUUGGGCGUAAAGCGUCCGCAGGUGGCUGUGUAAGUCUGCUGUUAAAGAGUCUAGCUCAACUAGAUACAAGCAGUGGAAACUACACGGCUAGAGUACGGUCGGGGCAGAGGGAAUUCCUGGUGUAGCGGUGAAAUGCGUAGAGAUCAGGAAGAACACCGGUGGCGAAGGCGCUCUGCUAGGCCGUAACUGACACUGAGGGACGAAAGCGAGGGGAGCGAAUGGG
rnacentral:rRNA from 1 species